AAAAAAAACAAAUCCGAGUUUUCGUGUUCAACGUUUGACUGUUCGUCUUAUUUAAAAAAAUUAUAAAAAAAAUUAAAAAGAUAAGUCACACAUAAAGUAUUAAUCAUGUUUUAUCAUCUAACAACAAUGAAAAUACUAAUUAUAAAAAAAUUUCAUAUAAGACGGACAGUCAAACGUUGGACACGGAAACCAGGGUUUGUCUUUUU
rfam:Oryza rufipogon genomic scaffold, chr06